rnacentral:rRNA from 1 species
CCUACGGGAGGCAGCAGUGGGGAAUAUUGGGCAAUGGGCGCAAGCCUGACCCAGCAAUGCCGCGUGAAGGAAGAAGGCUUUCGGGUUGUAAACUUCUUUGACAGGGGAAGAGCAGAAGACGGUACCCUGAAAACAAGCCACGGCUAACUACGUGCCAGCAGCCGCGGUAAUACGUAGGUGGCAAGCGUUGUCCGGAUGUACUGGGUGUAAAGGGCGUGUAGCCGGGAAGGCAAGUCAGAUGUGAAAUCUGGAGGCUCAACAUCCAAAUUGCAUUUGAAACUGUUUUUCUUGAGUACUGGAGAGGCAGACGGAAUUCCUUGUGUAGCGGUGAAAUGCGUAGAUAUAAGGAGGAACACCAGUGGCGAAGGCGGUCUGCUGGACAGCAACUGACGGUGAGGCGCGAAAGCGUGGGGAGCAAACAGGAUUAGAUACCCCGGUAGUC